UACAGAGGCCCCAAGCCGUUAGGCGGAAUCACUGGGCUUAAAGCGUGUGUAGGCGGGUUGGUAAGUACUUUGUGAAAUCCCACGGCUCAACUGUGGAAUUGCUUAGUAUACUGCCGAUCUUGAGUCAUUUAGGGCAGCCGGAACAGAUGGUGGAGCGGUGAAAUGCGUAGAUAUCAUCUGGAACGCCAAUGGUGCAGACGAGGCUGCUGGGAAUGAACUGACGCUGAGGCACGAAAGCCAGGGGAGCGAACGGG
rnacentral:rRNA from 1 species